GUAAGCAUAGUUUAACCAAAACAUUAGGUUGUGAUCCUAAAGACAGAAGCUCAACCCUUCUUGCCUACC
rnacentral:tRNA from 1 species